CCAGACUCCUACGGGAGGCAGCAGUGGGGAAUAUUGCACAAUGGGGGGAACCCUGAUGCAGCGACGCCGCGUGAGCGAAGAAGUAUCUCGGUAUGUAAAGCUCUAUCAGCAGGGAAGAAAAUGACGGUACCUGACUAAGAAGCUCCGGCUAAAUACGUGCCAGCAGCCGCGGUAAUACGUAUGGAGCAAGCGUUAUCCGGAUUUACUGGGCGUAAAGGGAGCGCAGGCGGCGCGCCAAGUCUGGUGUGAAACCCCGGGGCUCAACCCCGGGACUGCUUUGGAAACUGGCGGGCUAGAGUGUCGGAGGGGCAAGCGGAAUUCCUGGUGUAGCGGUGAAAUGCGUAGAUAUCAGGAGGAACACCGGUGGCGAAGGCGGCCUGCUGGACGACAACUGACGUUGAGGCUCGAAAGCGUGGGGAGCAAACAGGAUUAGAUACCCGGGUA
rnacentral:rRNA from 1 species